rnacentral:rRNA from 1 species
UACGUAGGUGGCGAGCGUUGUCCGGAAUUACUGGGUGUAAAGGGAGCGUAGGCGGGAUAUUAAGUUGAAUGUAUAAACUACCGGCUUAACCGAUAGAAGCGUCCAAAACUGAUAUUCUUGAGUGAAGUAGAGGCAGGCGGAAUUCCUAGUGUAGCGGUGAAAUGCGUAGAUAUUAGGAGGAACACCAGUGGCGAAGGCGGCCUGCUGGGCUUUAACUGACGCUGAGGCUCGAAAGCGUGGGUAGCAAACAGG